GAAGAGUCCAUCAUGUUCCAAGGAGACAGAAUUAAAUGUACUUCUGAAGCACAUAAUGUGGGUGAUGAGAACUGAAUUCAGGUCCUUCGAUCUCUCAAAUUUAUACUUUAUUAUGAAGAAGCAAUUGCAAGCAUCAACUACAUAAAUACAUGGAGCUAACAUAAUGGGUCAAAGAAGUGUGAUAAAAUAAAUUCCUGUAGUUUAGACCUUCCAAAUUAGAAUACUCUCUUAUGGGAACCCAGAAAACUAAACCAAGAAGUGUCUCAACUAGGAUAAGCACAAAAAGAGAUUACGUCAGGUGACAAACGUGGGCUGACAUCAUUCUUCAUAAUGAGGCCAACGCAAAAAGAAGGCAUGUAGUUCUUCCCAGCGAAUGCGAAGAUUAGACCGUGUGCAGGAGAGAAGGUUGAGUUUAUCCAGUCUGUUUUCAUGCUGAGCACUGCGCACCCUGCUCCAGAGCCCUUGAGCACUCUACAGACGGCACUGCUGAACUGGAUCCGAUAAUAGAUGCUGGCCCAUGGGUUUUAUUACCUUAGCUGUGUUGCUUGGAUUUGAAGGAUGCAGUAAUUAGAGCAAGUUGAUGACCUUCCUCAGGGUCAACUUGAGAAACCAGCAGCAGCUUAUGAAAUACGUGGAUUCCUCUAUGGCAGUGACUGUCUCGAUUACUUAGUUGCAGUAAUGUACAUGUAACAGACUUGAAACAAUGUGAAGACGUGAAGACAUGACACAAGUUUCAAAUAAGGAUAUUCAUGAGAAACCAGCACAGAGGUGCAAGUUUAUUUUGUGUAACAAAUUUAGAAGACUUCUGAGAAUUUGGAGAAAAAAAUGGAUAAUUACAAAGAAGAAAAUACUCUGCUAAUUUGGACUGAACAAAGAAGUUUCAAACUGCUACAUACGAAGUCUCCUUGGUUUUUGUUAGGUGAUGAGAACUUUUGGAAAAUUUUUUGGGGUGGAAAAUUUUUGAAGUUGAUUCUGGCAUCAUGGAAAUUUGGUACCCAAUAGAAGUUCAAUAAAUGUUUGUUAAAUGAAUAACAAUGUGAUGCCAUAAACCAGAUUUUGGACUCCACCAAAACAAUAGUUGUCAUGAAUGGAUUUGUUUUUCCGGAGUUGAUCUCUUUUAUUGCUGUUUAAAUAUAAUGUCCUUUGAAUAAGGGUCAUAUGAUGCACUCGUAUCAUUAGGUGAUCGCUUAUAUGCCACACAUGAUUGAAAAUGUCUUGCUAGUAAUCAUUUGUCAACUUGACACAAAUUAAAGUUCCUA
rnacentral:sRNA from 1 species